CCUGGGGAUGGAAGAGAGAAGAGAAAGUCAAUAAGGAAUCAAUGGCCAAUCAAAUCAAUGCAUGUGAUGUAAAAUGAGAUGUGUAAUAAAGGGAGACUUAGUGAUUUUAGCCCUUUAUCUACUUCCUCAGAGUCAGAUGACCUCGUGCAGUGGAGGCUGAAGAGGGGAGGACGGCAACAUCAUAAUGGCUGGAACUGAGCGAAUGUAAUGACAUCAAACACAUGGAAACAACGGGUUUGAUGUUGUUGAUACCUUUCCACUCCAGCCAUUACCACGUGCCCAUCCUCCACAAUUACGGUGCCGCCACCACCCCCAAAAUGAACUCAUGGAUACCAUUGUUAUGUCUCCGUGUCCAGUAUGAAGGAAGUUAGAGCUAGUUUCGUGAGCCAAUGCUAACUAGCGUUAGCACAAUGACUGGGAGUCUAUGGGUAUCUGCUAGCAUGCUAGAUAAAAUCCCAAAGUAUCCCUAUAACAGUGGUUAUUGAGGGUGUGUACACUUCAAACAGCUAACGAUGUGGGUAACCGUUGUGGCGUGUGGUAACAACAAAGCAACAGUACAUAAGGGCUAGAGCAGCAAAUCUUUUGUUUCAUCAGAAGAAACAUCACUCCUUCAAGCAGAAUCAUGUCAUCAUAGAGGUCUAAAGUAGUGCACUACAUAGGGAAUGGACAUAACCCCCUCAGAAGGUUGGAACUAUUACAGCUGCACCAUCUUGACUUGUUGCAUCACUGCUUGGUAUGGCAACUGCACCGCCCUCAAUCGCAUGGUGCUACAGAGGUUGGUAUGGCAACUACACCGCCCUCAAUCGCAUGGCGCUACAGAGGUUGGUGUGGACAGCCCAGUACAUCACUGCUUGGUAUGGCAACUACACCGCCCUCAAUCGCAUGGUGCUACAGAGGUUGGUGUGGACAGCCCAGUACAUCACUGGUUGGUAUGGCAACUACACCGCCCUCAAUCGCAUGGUGCUACAGAGGUUGGUGUGGACAGCCCAGUACAUCACUGCUUGGUAUGGCAACUACACCGCCCUCAAUCGCAUGGUGCUACAGAGGUUGGUGUGGACAGCCCAGUACAUCACUGCUUGGUAUGGCAACUACACCGCCCUCAAUCGCAUGGUGCUACAGAGGUUGGUGUGGACAGCCCAGUACAUCACUGCUUGGUAUGGCAACUACACCGCCCUCAAUCGCAUGGUGCUACAGAGGUUGGUAUGGCAACUACACCGCCCUCAAUCGCAUGGUGCUACAGAGGUUGGUGUGGACAGCCCAGUACAUCACUGCUUGGUAUGGCAACUACACCGCCCUCAAUCGCAUGGUGCUACAGAGGUUGGUGUGGACAGCCCAGUACAUCACUGGUUGGUAUGGCAACUACACCGCCCUCAAUCGCAUGGUGCUACAGAGGUUGGUGUGGACAGCCCAGUAUAUCACUGCUUGGUAUGGCAACU